rnacentral:rRNA from 1 species
AAACUUUCAACAACGGAUCUCUUGGCUCUGGCAUCGAUGAAGAACGCAGCGAAAUGCGAUAAGUAAUGUGAAUUGCAGAAUUCAGUGAAUCAUCGAAUCUUUGAACGCACAUUGCGCCCUCUGGUAUUCUGGGGGGCAUGCCUGUUCGAGCGUCAUU